GUAGGGUGCAGGCGUUAAUCGGAAUUACUGGGCGUAAAGCGUGCGCAGGCGGUCUUUUAAGUCAGAUGUGAAAUCCCCGGGCUUAACCUGGGAACUGCGUUUGAACUGGAAGGCUAGAGUGUGGCAGAGGGGGUGGAAUUCCGACGUGUAGCAGUGAAAUGCGUAGAUAUGAUGGAGGAACACCGAUGGCGAAGGCAGCCCCUGGGCUAACACUGACGCUCGAUGCACGAAAGCGUGGGAGCAA
rnacentral:rRNA from 1 species